rnacentral:rRNA from 1 species
GACAGAGGGUGCAAACGUUGUUCGGAAUUACUGGGCGUAAAGCGUGUGUAGGCGGCCGCGCAAGUCGGAUGUGAAAUCCCCGGGCUCAACCCGGGAAGGGCACCCGAAACUGCACGGCUUGAGUACCGGAGAGGUUGGUGGAAUUCUCGGUGUAGAGGUGAAAUUCGUAGAUAUUGGGAAGAACACCGGUGGCGAAGGCGGCGACCUGGUCCGAUACUGACGCUGAGGCGCGAAAGCGUGGGGAGCAAACAGG